rnacentral:miRNA from 1 species
GGUAAACUGGUGAUGAGGAUGAUUUUUUACAUGUCGGUCUGUAAGGUUUGUUACAGACCGACAUGUAAAAAAUCAUCCUCAUCACCAGUUUACAAAAACAC